CCCCUAGACGUUCUGGGCUGCACGCGCGCUACAAUAAUACGCACAGCGAGUAUCACCGAGCUCGAAAGGGCAAGGUAAACAAUAGAAAAGGUACUGUAAUGGUUAUAGAUCCUUGUAAUUAUUGAUCUUCAACGAGGAAUUCCUAGUAAGUAUGUGUCAUCAUCACGCACUGAUUACGUCCCUGCCCUUUGUACACACCGCCCGUCGCUCCUACCGAUUGGGUGAGCCGAUGAAACUCUCGGAUGUAGGCUAUUCAUAGCCCGCAGAAGAGAUUUGAAUCGUAGCGCUUAGAGGUAGGAGAAGUCGUAACA
rnacentral:rRNA from 1 species